AACGCUAGCUACAGGCUUAACACAUGCAAGUCGAGGGGCAGCAUGGUCUUAGCUUGCUAAGGCCGAUGGCGACCGGCGCACGGGUGAGUAACGCGUAUCCAACCUGCCUUACACUCUUGGACAGCCUUCUGAAAGGGAGAUUAAUACAAGAUGUUAUCAUGAGUAAGCAUUUUCGCAUGAUUAAAGGUUUACCGGUGUAAGAUGGGGAUGCGUUCCAUUAGAUAGUAGGCGGGGUAACGGCCCACCUAGUCUUCGAUGGAUAGGGGUUCUGAGAGGAAGGUCCCCACAUUGGAACUGAGACACGGUCCAAACUCCUACGGGAGGCAGCAGUGAGGAAUAUUGGUCAAUGGACGAGAGUCUGAACCAGCCAAGUAGCGUGAAGGAUGAAGGUUCUAUGGAUUGUAAACUUCUUUUAUACGGGAAUAAACGAAUCCACGUGUGGAUUUUUGCAUGUACCGUAUGAAUAAGGAUCGGCUAACUCCGUGCCAGCAGCCGCGGUAAUACGGAGGAUCCGAGCGUUAUCCGGAUUUAUUGGGUUUAAAGGGAGCGUAGAUGGGUUGUUAAGUCAGUUGUGAAAGUUUGCGGCUCAACCGUAAAAUUGCAAUUGAUACUGGCAGUCUUGAGUACAGUUGAGGUAGGCGGAAUUCGUGGUGUAGCGGUGAAAUGCUUAGAUAUCACGAAGAACUCCGAUUG
rnacentral:rRNA from 1 species